GAUAAGACUUUGGCGAUCAAAAGUAAUUCAACCAAAUCGCAAAAUUUCCUCUCACUGCAGAAUGUAGCAAAAUCUUCUUUGUUUUCAAGUAAUAAUCUUUAAAAAAGAAAUAAACCAAGCAAAUGAUCUCGAAUGAAUAAAAUAUGUGAAAAUGUUUGUUAAAUGGUGUUAGUAGUUUGGCAUAAUUAUAUUUAACCCAUGUUUACUUUGAAGCUGUGCUUCACAAUUGUAAUUACGAAAGUGCUGCUAAAAAAUUAGCCAACUACGUUGAAAUGUUUAUGUUUUGAAGAGUAUACUUAUGCAGGUAUUAAAAAACGAAAAUGGAUGUGAUUUGCAAUGAAAUUGGUGUAAACAUUCAACAUUUGUGUGAAACCCCUGUAUCUGGUCGUUAUCAAUUGAUUUGCGAUAAGCAAUGGUUACAAACGUUAGAACAGCGUCACAAAAUUGCUCCAUUUAAUGUAUGGCAUAAACUCGAUAGAAGAGCACAUCCAAGUGAUCCUUUAGAUCAUCCGUGGACGAGAAUUUUAUUGCAAACUUACUUGAAGAAACCAAAUGUAAAAGUAUUCCCUCUGCAAUGGCAAUAUGGCGAUGGAGGCAUAGAAACAGCUGUAGAGGCUGAAGGCAGCAAUCCGCUCACAUAUUCUCAAGCAUUGUGCUAUGUAACCAAUACAAAUUUCAAAAAUCUAUGGGAGGCUGCAUACAAACGUUAUCCGGGAGCUAACGUUAAGUAUGCCAAAUCAUCGACACCAACCGGUAGAACAUUGAGCCCUCCUUCAACAUGCGCACUUGUUUCCUACGAUGUCGUGUUAAAGGAAUUGAUACAACGUGUAUACCAUUGUCCUGUCAUACAUUGCCAGCUUGACAGAUUAAGUGAAGAUCAAAAGUGCGAAAAUAGUUAUGGAGUUGGAGAGGACUCAAUUGAUCGUCAUGCGAAUAUAAUGCCAGCUCUCAUCACCAUAGAGACAUCCACUCACUUUUGCGUAUUAUUUUAUCCACCCGCCAUCGUUACAAGUCUCUACGAUUGCAUAACUUAUUCGCCCUCGAUAUUGGGUAAAUCUUACAACAAAUCGCUCUUUAUUAUCUAUCAAAUUAUACAGCUUUCGAAGGCGUUACAAACGGCUGGCCUAUUUUUGGGUGAUAUACGUCUACAUGAUAUAAUGGUGCGCGAAAAUCUCUGGAUACAAGUACUACCACGACUAGAGUCUUGCAUAUUGCGACCAAAUCUUGCUGAACGUGGGGCCACAUCACCUAGUGAAACGGCACACGGUGCUGAUGGCGACAAUUCCGUGCUUUUAGAAGAAAAUGAAAAUGGCAGUUAUGUUUAUGGUGGAAAUGAUGAAGAUGGCGAGGAUGACACUGCCGAUUGCUCUAGUAAUACAAAAUUCGAUUUACAGUUUGCAUACGAUUUGGAUCAGUUUACGUUGCGUGAAUACUGUGAGAUGUGGUGCAAUGGUCAACUUUCAAAUUUUGAUUAUCUAACGAUAUUGAAUAACGCUGCCGGCCGUGGACUUAAUAAUCCGGCCUACCAUCAUAUAAUGCCAUGGGUAACUGAUUUUACAGCACGCAAUGGUCUGAAUUGGCGUGAUUUAACCAAAAGCAAAUAUCGACUGAACAAAGGUGAUGUCCAUUUAGAUUUAAUGUUUUCUCAUGCCACCCAUCAAGGUGCAAAUGGUGUUGGAAGCACUGUGACAGUAGGCGCAAGCGGUCAAGCACCACAUCAUGUGUCGGAUUUUCUUUCGGAAAUCACAUAUUUUGUUUAUAUGGCACGUCGCACACCGCAAGAAGUGCUUUGCCAGCACGUGCGUCCCAUUUGGGUGCCUGCUGAAUAUCCCGUAUCCAUACAGCGCUUGCAACAGUGGACCCCGGAUGAAUGUAUACCUGAAUUCUACUCCGAUCCAAUGAUUUUUAAGAGCAUUCACGAAGACUUGCCAGAUUUAGAUUUGCCCGCAUGGGCCUCAUGCCCUGAAGAUUUCAUAGCAAAACAUCGGGAAGCUUUAGAAUCACAGUACGUUAGUGAGAGGCUACAACACUGGAUAGAUCUCAAUUUUGGUUACAAAUUAUCCGGAAAGGCUGCUGUCAAAUCAAAGAAUGUAUGUCUGAGUCUGGUGGAUCAACAUAAAGAGCUCUGCCAACGUGGUAUUAUACAACUGUUUACCACACCACAUCCCGCCAAACGUUUUCCGUCACCCUGGUUCAAUAAAACACCGCCACGACUCAAUCAAUUGCUUGCUUCGCCGCGAUCUCCACGUUCCGGCAGCUCCACGCUACGACCUAACGAGUCAAGACGUCUUGCCAAAAGCACAGAGAACCUUAAUGUUAGCGAAACAGCCAGUUUUCCAACGGAGCUCACUGCAGCAACAACUUCGCUCCGUCGUUCAGGUGCCUCCUCAUCUUCGCCGCGUAUGUCCUUGCGUGCUAAUAACACUGCUAGCGAUAUGUCCAAUUCGAAUUUCUAUCCCAGCACUAAUUUUAUUGACUUGCCAAAAGAUUAUAAUCCAUGUGCGCUACUCCAAUCUCUUGAAACAAUGGAAACGUUCUUCGCACGCACUUUUCCAAAACAAAAGCCAGCAUCGAACACUUUGGAAAAGAUCAUUCACAGUGAUAUGUUAUUUGACGCACACUCCUCAGAGAACUCAUUUACCAAUCGUCUCUUCCUAGAUGAAAAUCCGAAUGCCAGCAUUCCAACCGUAACACAAAAUAAACAUAAACCAAAAAGUUUACUGGCGCCAAGCCCAACCUAUCUAAAAAAGCGUUCCAUGAAACAGCUGCUCAGUGAGAACCGCGAACGUGAGCUUCAAGUGUUAGGUUGCCUAAUUGUUGAGCUCUUUGCUAUGCCGCGUCUGCGCGCAAUGCUCAUGAACGGCGUGAACACCGCCACAGAGGAACGUCUGCAAGCGUGUCGCACUGUGGCUAGCUUACACCGUCAAGAUAUACCAAAGUGUCUACGUUACACAGUCGCACUGUUGCUGCAACCGCAAGUCGCCGUUGUGCUCACCGACAAGGGUCUACCAGCGCCAACAUCCACCCAGCUACUCGAACCAAUAUUCGCCAAUCAAUUGAUACCGUUUCCCUGUAAUUUCUAUACUACCUAUGCGCUUAUACGUUCUUUGCAUCAAUUCGAUUUGAAUUCCUCGCUGCUUGAAUUGUGCACACACUUCAAUUGUAAUGGUCGUGAGUGUGCCAAAUACACCGACAUGGAUCGUCAGCGUGUGCUUUUCGAACGUAAAAUAGCCGAGUGCAAAGUGAUGUCAUGUUGCGCGUACAUCAGUCAUUUGUUGGAGCCCAUUGGCUAUGAGCAAUUCUCUCCAGUGGAAUUACUACUGCCGCACAUCAUUGAUUUGCUUUUAGAUGAGCAGACAUCGAUAUUAACUGCAUGGAAUUUAUUCGAUCCAGUGGCACAAGCGCUCGGCAUUGCCAAUACACAAAAGUACCUGUUAUUGCCCAUAAUGAAAUUGUACGAUGUGGAGAGUUUUGAACGUGGCAUGAUUUCGGUGCGAACGCGCAGUGCGGACGCAAGCAGUUCAACCGGUGGUCAAGUGCGCUUUUCCAUGAGCAGUUCGUUUAAAUCGCGCAAAUCGGUUAAGCUUUACCAUCACAGCUUUUUGUUGCAUUUGAUUGUACGCUUUGGUUUGAAAUGUUUUCUACACAAUUUUAUUGCGCCACUAAUUGAGGCUGUUGGCGGUUACAAAGAACCGGAAGAUGGUAAUGGUUUCCAUUAUCAUAGCUCGACGAACAAUGGAGGUGGUGGUAGUCGUCGUACGAGUCGGAAUUUAAAUUAUGCCUCUACAGAAGAUGACAUUUCUUUGACGUUAAUGUCAACGGAGGGCGCGGAUAAAAGUGUGGAUGAUACGACUUUGCAUGUUAAAGUACCGGCUACAAACGCCUCGAAACAGGAAGUCGAAGACGUUUUCAGUUUUGAUGAUGAUGCCAACUUGGAUCACAUCUCAAAUUCGGGUACCAGUGAGAAUAAGUCGAUCGACUCUUUUGACAUGCGGCCGACACCUGCCGAAGAAGCUAAAGAAGAUUACAACCAAAGCGAAACAGCAUCAGAGAAAUUGGCGAUUUCAGAGAUUAUUUACGGUUCAAAAAUGUCAAGCGCAUCAUUGGAGGACGCCCAUAAGGUCUCCUUGAACAGUCAAUGCGCAAGUGACUCACCCACCACACAGCUUGGCGCCAAAUCGCCUACAAUUGAAAUACCUGCCAGCGCCAUAAGGCGUAGUUAUCAACUAAACACCAUCGACUGUGACAUCGGCUCACGUAAAAGUAUCGAUUCGUUUGAAAUAAUCACACAAGCCGUGGAAGAAGAGCAAAAACAACUGAAAUCGCAACAAAAUGCCGCCGACAGAACACAGCUGCACGCCGAAAACAAGGAGAUGAAGACGGAGGAGGAAAGUGAAAUGCAAGCGCAAGUUGCUUUGGACUCACUGCAAGCUUCGGUAAUUUCGAAAAUGUCUGAAGCUAAAGCGGCACAAAAUAAUCGCAUCUCCGAAAUGAGCGCUGGUAGCUUGAUGUGGCUAGCAUACCGUUUGGGACCCUCGCUAACUUCGCGUUACAUAACACGUAAUCUACUGAAAAUGUUGUCGUUGUGUUAUGUUGGUCAAGAGAAUUUGCUACCCGAAACGCACGAGCAAGCUGAGUUGCAAAAUUUGAAUUACUUUUCCAUGUCGGACGCGCAUGUUGUGGGUGAUCGCAGCGCAGCGCGUGUCUUGGAGUGUCUGAUGUCUAUAGCGGCACUGUUCGGCGAGGAAGUAAUACUCGUACAAUACUUUCCACAUAUAAGCGAACUAAUCGCUUUGGGCUCGAAGCGCAUAACACCCAGUCUCGAAGGCGCUAUUAUAAGCACACUACAAUUACUUAAAUAUCUGGUGCCUUGUCUGAUGGAUGCCACAAUAAUGGAACACUUAAAAGAAACAAUACUCAAAAAUAUGCUCUUGCCAAUUGUACGUAUACUGGGCUCUACGCGGCUGCUCAUGCCCAGCGGUUAUUUGGGCCGUUCAGUAUUGGCACGUAAAUGGUUGGAUGCAGUUUAUACGCUCUGUGUGCGAAUCGGUCCCGAUAUGUCGAAAGAGCAUUUAUGCAUACCAACUCUGAGACCGUACUUCCUCAUUUUCGACAAGGCUUUUGGUAUACGUGAGCAAUUUGAAAAUCAAAAUGUGAGCCAACUAUCGAUAUCUCCACCAAUAAAUUGCUUUGGAAAUGAUGAUGGCGCAAAUUCCAGACGUGAGCGUGAGGAGAUACGUGAUGUGUUUAGUCCGGCGCUUGCACACAUUUCUUAUUUGUCCUUCUUGCGUUUCUUGGGCGAGGCCAUUAUGCAACGUACCAUUUGUAAUUUGGAGUUUAUCUUGACACUUUGCCAUGAAUUCGAGCAACCCGACUAUAAAUCGCACAUUACAAAAGGCAAAUCGAACAAUGAUACCGUUGACAGCCCAUCGAAGAGUAGUGAUAAUUUAACAGAACCAGAGCUGCUGGUGGCCAAUAGUUUUGGUACAAACGUGAUUGGUAAUCGUCUCGAGGUGGUCAGUAGCGGCACGGCAAAUCAAUCGCAACAAGAAGUCGGUCCCAUGGAGGUUUUAGACAUGGUCGCCUACAAAUUCGAACACAUACCAACAGUGCGACAUUUGAAGGGCAAUUGGUUGGCUUACUGGCGACAUGAAAUUAGUCGUUCGGACAAGGAUACCAUGUUAAAUUUAAAACAAAUCAAAAUGCAAUCUUUCGGAGGACACACAAAUUCAGUGCGUUCAAUUUUGGCUUUGGACAACGAGAACAGUUUCAUUUCGGCGUCGAAGAUCGACUGAAAAAAUAUUUCACAACAAUAAAUGCGAUGACGACGUUGAAGAGAGAAAAAUCGCAUGAUGGAAUUUUGGGAAUCUGAAAACUUCAAAGAAUUGUUGCAUGAUAUGCCAUUUAUACCAGGGCAACAUGGUCAGCAGCAGCGAGAGUCCCAUUGCAUGUAGCAGUGAUAGUAGUGCUUGUCAAACUCGUGUACUCGCGUAUAUUGUGUGGAAUUUCAAGUCUCUAUGUACGUACCGGCUAAUAAAUGAAUGAAUGUCAUGGCACGCAAAGGAAUGCGAAUGCAGACACACACAUGCAUUAAAGAUUUUAUUCCGGAGAAAAAACCUGUCCGACCACCCUAGCGUGUGCUCUGCUGCACACACACGCUCGCACAUACAUGCAGGCUGCGCUGCUCGCAAAUUUGCGGCAGCGAAAAAGCAGCGAGUUGCCUACUUGCUGGUUAUGGGCGCCUAGUACCAAACGAUUAAAUUCAGUUUAACCAUCCACCGAGCAAUUUGUGCUGCGCCGACGUCGACUGCGUAUAUUGACUGCGACCAUGUUAACGCGCAAAUUGCAUAUUUUAAAGACUGUCAGUGCUUUCUAUUGGAUUCGAUGUGCGGAUACUGUUUGGUGUUGAACUGUGCGUCGCGCUAUUAUUCCUGUCAGCUUGGUAAGAAUGUUUGUUGUCGUGUCUGCGAGGCGACAGUGAAAAAAGCAGCAGGCAGUUCUAGCUAGACAUUAUGUAGACAAACAAGCGCACAUUCGUCAAACGUUUUGGUCGUCGUUGGCACAAGCAAUCCCCGUGGAUAAGUUGGCGUUGCGAUAUGUAUACGUGAAGAAUCCAGCAAACAGGAAUUGGCAAUGGAAAUCCAACCGUUGUGCGAUGUGAAGGAUUAGCGCCCAAAUUUUUACAUAUUUACAUAUAAAUAUUAUUGUUUAAUGCUACUAUUUUUAGAAAUUUUUCAAAUAUU
rnacentral:misc_RNA from 1 species